rnacentral:rRNA from 1 species
UCCGAAGGGGGCUAGCGUUGUUCGGAAUUACUGGGCGUAAAGCGCGUGUAGGCGGGUCUUUAAGUCAGGGGUGAAAUGCCAAGGCUCAACCUUGGAACUGCCUUUGAUACUGGAGAUCUUGAGUCCGGGAGAGGUGAGUGGAAUUGCGAGUGUAGAGGUGAAAUUCGUAGAUAUUCGCAAGAACACCAGUGGCGAAGGCGGCUCACUGGCCCGGAACUGACGCUGAGACGCGAAAGCGUGGGGAGCAAACAGG